rnacentral:tRNA from 1 species
GGACCCUUAGCUCAGUUGAUUAGAGCAGCCGACUCAUAAUCGGUAGGUCAUAGGUUCAACCCCUAUAGGGUCCACCA